AUUGAACGCUGGCGGCAGGCCUAACACAUGCAAGUCGAACGAGUGGCGGACGGGUGAGUAAUGUCUGGGAAACUGCCCGAUGGAGGGGGGUAACUACUGGAAACGUUAGCUCAUACCGCAUACCAUCGGAUGUGCCCAGAUGGGAUUGGCUUGUAGGUGAGGUAACGGCUACCCUAGGCGACGAUCCCUAGCUGGUCUGAGAGGAUGGCCAGCCACACUGGAAGUGAGGCACGGUCCAGACUCCUACGGGAGGCAGCAGUGGGGAAUAUUACGCAAUGGGCGCAAGCCUGAUGCAGCCAUGCCGCGUGUAUGAAGAAGGCCUUCGGGUUGUAAAGUACUUUCAGCGGGGAGGCGUUACCCGCAGACGAAGCACCGGCUAACUCCGUGCCAGCAGCCGCGGUAAUAC
rnacentral:rRNA from 1 species